rnacentral:rRNA from 1 species
AAUGAACGCUGGCGGCAUGCCUAACACAUGCAAGUCGAACGAAGGCUUCGGCCUUAGUGGCGCACGGGUGCGUAACGCGUGGGAAUCUGCCCUUGGGUUCGGAAUAACAGUUAGAAAUGACUGCUAAUACCGGAUGAUGUCGUAAGACCAAAGAUUUAUCGCCCAAGGAUGAGCCCGCGUAGGAUUAGCUAGUUGGUGAGGUAAAAGCUCACCAAGGCGACGAUCCUUAGCUGGUCUGAGAGGAUGAUCAGCCACACUGGGACUGAGACACGGCCCAGACUCCUACGGGAGGCAGCAGUGGGGAAUAUUGGACAAUGGGCGAAAGCCUGAUCCAGCAAUGCCGCGUGAGUGAUGAAGGCCUUAGGGUUGUAAAGCUCUUUUACCCGGGAUGAUAAUGACAGUACCGGGAGAAUAAGCUCCGGCUAACUUCGUGCCAGCCGCCGUAGUAACAC